rnacentral:rRNA from 1 species
GACGGAGGAUGCAAGUGUUAUCCGGAAUUAUUGGGCGUAAAGCGUCUGUAGGUUGCCUAACAAGUCUGUUGUUAAAGGUUAAAGCUUAACUUUAAAACUGCAGCAGAAACUGCUAGGCUUGAGUACAGUCGAAGUAGAGGGAAUUUCCAGUGAAGCGGUGAAAUGCGUAGAUAUUGGAAGGAACACCAAUGGCGAAAGCACUCUACUAGACUUUUACUGACACUCAGAGACGAAAGCUAGGGUAGCAAAUGGGAUUAGAUACCCCAGUAGUCCUAGCCGUAAACGAUGGAUACUAGAUGUUGCGUACUUAGUACAGUGUCGUAGCUAACGCGUUAAGUAUCCCGCCUGGGAAGUAUGCGCGCAAGCGUG